AGCGAACGCUGGCGGCAGGCCUAACACAUGCAAGUCGAACGAAUCGCAAGAUGAGUGGCAGACGGGUGAGUAACGCGUGGGAAUCUACCCAGUUCUACGGAACAACAGUUGGAAACGACUGCUAAUACCGUAUACGCCCUACGGGGGGAAGAUUUAUCGGAAUUGGAUGAGCCCGCGUAAGAUUAGCUAGUUGGUGGGGUAAUGGCCUACCAAGGCGACGAUCUUUAGCUGGUCUGAGAGGAUGAUCAGCCACACUGGGACUGAGACACGGCCCAGACUCCUACGGGAGGCAGCAGUGGGGAAUAUUGGACAAUGGGCGCAAGCCUGAUCCAGCCAUGCCGCGUGAGUGAUGAAGGCCUUAGGGCUGUAAAGCUCUUUCACCGAUGAAGAUAAUGACGGUAGUCGGAGAAGAAGCCCCGGCUAACUUCGUGCCAGCCGCCGCGGUAAUAC
rnacentral:rRNA from 1 species